CGACAGAACCCGGUCUGUUCUGAGUACAGCGACAGAACCCGGUCUGUUCUGAGUACAGCGACAGAACCCGGUCUGUUCUGAAAACAGCGACAGAACCCGGUCUGUUCUGAGUACAGCGACAGAACCCGGUCUGUUCUGAGUACAGCGACAGAACCCGGUCUGUUCUGAGCACAGCGACAGAACCCGGUCUGUUCUGAGUACAGCGACAGAACCCGGUCUGUUCUGAGUACAGCGACAGAACCCGGUCUGUUCUGAGCACAGCGACAGAACCCGGUCUGUUCUGAGUACAGCGACAGAACCCGGUCUGUUCUGAGCACAGCGACAGAACCCGGUCUGUUCUGAGUACACAAAUAGAGAAAUAAAGAUCUGAAGAGGGAAUAAAUGAAUAAACAUGUGUUCCUGGUCUGUCUCGUCAAUAAGGUAUUUACACUGGAUUACAUAUAGAUUUCUCUAGUGCACUAUAUGGGGAAGAGGAUGCUAUUUGGGAUACACCCUAGGUCUCCAUCUGCUGCUACGGCUCAGAGCUUCAACUGAAAUACAAUUCAAGCAGGGAUUUAAAAGUUGUUGAUUUACAAUGAAUUAUCACGAGGGAGUAGACUGGAUGGAUACUUGAUAUUAAAUGCUUUACUAUGAGCCUGUUGUAAGAUAGUUACGCCUUCUUCUUCUUCUUCGUGGUCGGAGGAAUAAGAUAGUUAUGCCUUCUUCUUCUUCUUCGUGGUCGGAGGAAUAAGAUAGUUAUGCCUUCUUCUUCUUCUUCUUCGUGGUCGGAGGAAUAAGAUAGUUAUGCCUUCUUCUUCUUCUUCGUGGUCGGAGGAAUAAGAUAGUUAUGCCUUCUUCUUCUUCGUGGUCGGAGGAAUAAGAUAGUUACGCCUUCUUCUUCUUCUUCGUGGUCGGAGGAAUAAGAUAGUUAUGCCUUCUUCUUCUUCGUGGUCGGAGGAAUAAGAUAGUUAUGCCUUCUUCUUCUUCGUGGUCGGAGGAAUAAGAUAGUUAUGCCUUCUUCUUCUUCGUGGUCGGAGGAAUAAGAUAGUUAUGCCUUCUUCUUCUUCUUCUUCGUGGUCGGAGGAAUAAGAUAGUUAUGCCUUCUUCUUCUUCUUCAUAAUGGUCGGAGGAAUAAGAUAGUUAUGCCUUCUUCUU
ensembl:lncRNA